GGGGGUAUGGCUCAGUGGUAGAGCACGUACUUAGCAUGCAAGAGGUCCUGGGGUCAGUCCCCAGUCCCUCCA
rnacentral:tRNA from 1 species